rnacentral:rRNA from 1 species
GCUGGCGGCAGGCCUAACACAUGCAAGUCGAGCGGAAACGAGUUAUCUGAACCUUCGGGGAACGAUAACGGCGUCGAGCGGCGGACGGGUGAGUAAUGCCUAGGAAAUUGCCCUGAUGUGGGGGAUAACCAUUGGAAACGAUGGCUAAUACCGCAUAAUGCCUACGGGCCAAAGAGGGGGACCUUCGGGCCUCUCGCGUCAGGAUAUGCCUAGGUGGGAUUAGCUAGUUGGUGAGGUAAGGGCUCACCAAGGCGACGAUCCCUAGCUGGUCUGAGAGGAUGAUCAGCCACACUGGAACUGAGACACGGUCCAGACUCCUACGGGAGGCAGCAGUGGGGAAUAUUGCACAAUGGGCGCAAGCCUGAUGCAGCCAUGCCGCGUGUGUGAAGAAGGCCUUCGGGUUGUAAAGCACUUUCAGUCGUGAGGAAGGUAGUGUAGUUAAUAGCUGCAUUAUUUGACGUUAGCGACAGAAGAAGCACCGGCUA